UAGGAUGUGGCUGAGAUUUAUAGGCGCUAAAUUGUAAAUUUAGAAACGGAGUAUUCCCCUCCUAA
rnacentral:tRNA from 1 species